rnacentral:misc_RNA from 1 species
UAUGGUCUUGAACUUGAUGAUUUUGUUUCUGGACCUCGUGAGUUGUUACUUAAAUUUGUAGAAGAGAAUUAUCCAUUGCCUGAAGAACCUGAACCACUUCCUGAUGAAAGUGUCAAAGAGCUUCAGCGAAAGAGACACUCUGCAACACCUGGUGUAUCAAUUAGAGGGAGAGUGAGAAAAGUUGCUAAAUGGCAAACGGGUGAUCAGAUGAGUGAUGAAGAAUCAGAUACUGAUUCUGAAUAUGAAUCUACCGAGUCCGAUGACGAUGAAUUUCAGAUCUGUGAUGUUUGUAGUUCGGAGGAGGAGAGGAAAAAAUUGCUCCAGUGUUCCUGUUGUAGCCAACUUAUACAUCCAGCAUGUUUAGUUCCACCUGUUACAGAGCCAGUUUCUGCGGAUUGGUGUUGCCACUCUUGCAAGGAAAAGACAGAUGAAUACAUACAAGCAAGACAUGCCUAUGUUGCGGAACUAUCAAAAAGGUAUGAAGGAGCUCUGGAGAGAAGGUCCAAGAUUUUGGAUAUAAUUCGUUCUUUGGAUCUUCCAAACAAUCCGUUGGAUGAUAUUAUCGACCAGCUUGGGGGCCCGGAGAAAGUGGCAGAAAUAACAGGGAGAAAAGGCAUGCUUGUGAGGGCCGCUAAUGGAAAAGGUGUCACCUAUCAGGCGCGAAAUACGAAGGAUGUAAGCAUGGAAAUGGUCAAUAUACAUGAGAAACAGCUCUUCAUGGAAGGGAAGAAGCUGGUAGCUAUAAUAUCUGAAGCUGGAUCAGCUGGUGUUUCUCUGCAAGCUGAUAGAAGGGCCUUAAACCAGAGAAGAAGGGUCCAUUUGACUCUGGAGUUACCUUGGAGUGCUGAUCGGGCAAUUCAGCAGUUUGGAAGAACUCAUCGCUCUAAUCAAGCUUCUGCACCCGAGUAUAAGCUACUAUUUACUAAUCUUGGCGGCGAACGGCGGUUUGCAUCCGUUGUUGCCAAGAGACUUGAAUCACUUGGGGCAUUGACUCAGGGAGAUCGUCGAGCUGGACCAUCUCUUAGUGCUUAUAACUACGAUAGUUCCUAUGGGAAAAGAGCCUUUGUGAUGUUGUAUAGAGGGAUCAUGGAGCAGGAUCCUUUUCCACUUGUACCACCAGGUUGUUCUGCUGAUAUACCGGAUGCUAUACAGGAUUUUAUUUUGAAGGGGAAAGCUGCACUUGUUUCUGUUGGAAUAAUAAGAGACUCGGUUCUAGGUAAUGGAAAGGAUUCUGGGAAGCUUUCUGGCCGUAUAGUUGAUUCAGACAUGCAUGAUGUCGG